rnacentral:rRNA from 1 species
CGUCACACCAUGAGAGUUGGAAAUACCCGAAGCCUGUGAGCUGACCUUUGGGGGCAGCAGUCGAAGGUAGAGCCAAUGAUUGGGGUGAAGUCGUAACAAGGUAAC